rnacentral:tRNA from 1 species
GAGAAAGAAACAGAAAGGUUCUGUAGUUGGCUUGAAACUAAUUGAUGGGGGUUCAAUUCCUCCCUUCUUCG